GGACAAGUGAGGUCAGUGGGAUAUGUGUCAUAUGUAACUAGAUGGUGAGUGGUUGGGAGGAAAAAGGAUGAUAAGGAGGGGGUAGAGGAGAUGGAGGAGGCAAAGGGGGAUAGAGCGAACAAAGUAUAAUGGCACAGAGCUACCUUCUGGAAAUCCACAACAUCAAAUGCUAUCAUUUAAAGGAAAGACAACAAGAAUAAAAAGUUUAAAAUGCUUGCUGUUAAGUAGUGUGUAAUGUUAUUCCAGAUGCAACCUCAUGUAUCUCAUGUUGAUCACAUCUUUUGCAUACAUGCCAUAUAUGCUGCUAUAUAUAACCUAUAUGCCAUGUUUAUAGUCCAGUGAGGUGUAUAGUGAACUGUGACAUUUAGGUCAAUGCUACUACUCUCUCAUAAUCAUGCUAUUAAGCUGCCUGAUAAUGUACUUGUCAGAAUAUAUGCUCAACUCAUGAAAAGUAUACAUGCCACACAUGCCUUCAUGUGUGCAUGCACGCGCACACGCACACACACGCACAAGAAGAGGCAGCUUCAGGUUGGUCUCUCAGGCUAGAGAUGCAAAGAAGAGUUAUAGUUGCAUUCAGAGGCAAUCCCUUUCCUCUUCCAUGACCAUCCAGUCUGCUGAUGGCUUUAAAAUAAAAGGGUAGAGUCCCACCAAUAAUAUAGAAUAUCAUAUGCUUUACUCAAAGGUUGCUUAUGUAAAUGCUAUUCUUGUCUAAGAAAUACCUUCAUAGAAAUAUCUAGACUAGUAUUUGACCCAGAUACUAACUUGACAUAAAAAUUGCUACCUUGUGGAGCCACAGUGAUGGAAGUGGGUCACUAGGAAAGGCCUUAAGACGUUAUAGAUGGAUCCCACUUCCUGUUUAGACUUGCCUUCCUGAGUGCAGGUAAAAUGUGACCCAGGCAGCCUUCUGCCACCAUGCCUUUCCUGCCUGCUGCCAUAAUGGACUGUAUCCCCCAGAACUGUAAGCCAAAAUAGACUUUUCUUCCUUAAAUAAAUAAAAAAAAAAAAUCACCAAACUGCCAUUUAUCCAAGGGCGGGAUUUGGCUUUCUUUGCUGUUUUAUCCUGCACUUUGUAUGCUAUUCAUAGGUAUUUUUGAAGGAAACUUAAAAUACUGCAGAAGGCAGUGCUUUAAUGUACCAUUGUGAUUGAUGGUGUUUUAAUUCUAUAUAAUUAAAAGUUAGUAGUAUUAAGAUACAAAGACUUCAGAAGAGCCUGGGAUUUCAAAUAGCUAUCAAAGUAGGAGAAAAACAUCCCUUAAACCUCUACUAGUCACAGCCAUCAUCAGGUUUCUGUAAGGUGUGAUAAGUGGAGGAAACAGGAUCCAUGCCUCCUUCUGUACAGAGGAUAAAGGCAGUCAAGGAAACCCUCUGUGACCAGCUAUAGGGCUUUGUCUAGAGACACCAAUGCAUGUGGUCCAUGCCUGCUUGGUGGGUAGCAGCAGAGGUAUAAGGAUCUGCUGCGUAUCUCUACACUAGUUUUCAUUGGUUCCUUUUGACAGAAUCCUAACUUAAUACUCUGGACCCCUGUAUGUCAAGUUGUCAAGUGGUGUCCUAUCUCAAUAAUCCCAAGAGCCCCACCUUCUCAGGAGAUAAGGAGGGACAGAACACUAAGAAUC
rnacentral:lncRNA from 1 species